AUGACAAGACAUUCUAAUCCAAGGAAAGGUUAUGAAAUUGGCUUCCUUCUCCUUGCCUUCCAUGAUGUGUGUGUAUAUAUAUAUAUAUUCAUCUUUUUCUCAUCAUUAAUAAUGGAGGUAUUUGUCACCUGCUCUUCGACCAGCACCUCCAUCUGCUUCCACCAGCCCUGCAUCCUGCCCUGCAUCCAGCUUCCAGACUGGACUCCUCGACACAUCCCUACACAUGCUUCUUCUAUAAGAGGAGGCUGUCCUGAUCUAGAGGUGGAUGGAGAAGAGGCAGUCAGAGAAUGCGGCAAGAAUUUAUGUAAGAAGAUGAUGAAAAGGAACAGGUCACUCAAUGACCUAUUGGAUGGAAUGUGAGCUAUUUAUUCGAUAAAUAUUUUGUUGAGUGUCUACAUGCGCAAGAUGGUUGUGGAAAGGACAAAGAGGCACCCGGGAAUUUGGGACAAGAUGUGUUCUGUAAUACUUGUUUAUUUAGGAAAAUGGGAUUUGUAAUUCCCAGGAAACUUUGAUCCUUGGUGGUUACUGCUCAGUCCCAAACUUCUGCUGCUUCACCCAGCUAGUCUCUCUCUCUCUCUCUCUCCCCCUCUCACUCACUCUCACACACACACACACACACACACACACACACACACACACACACNNNNNNNNNNCACACACACACACACACACACACACACACACACACACACACACCCUCCUCCUGCUCCUGAGCCCUUUGUCUGAGUGAUGUCAGCUCAGGAGACAGUACCUAGGAGCCUCCAGGAGAAGAACCAUAGCAUCAGAAGAUAGAAGGAAU
rnacentral:lncRNA from 1 species